CCGCAUGAGUUGCAGCCUGCUGUAUAUAUGGACAAACAAUAAAUGUGAUGGAAUUUAGGUGAGCAUCAUGUGAGAGUCGUAGAUGCUCUUAAAGGACCAUUGCACAUAC
rnacentral:snoRNA from 2 species